rnacentral:rRNA from 1 species
GACGAACGCUGGCGGCGUGCCUAACACAUGCAAGUCGAACGAGGUCCAUCCUUCGGGAGAAGACCUAGUGGCGAACGGGUGAGUAACACGUGAGGAACCUGCCCCGGAGACCGGGAUAACCACUCGAAAGAGUGGCUAAUACCGGAUGCCCCCAUCCUGCCGCAUGACGGGAGUGAGGAAAUAGGAUUCCGCUCCGGGAGGGGCCUCGCGGCCUAUCAGCUAGUUGGUGAGGUAACGGCUCACCAAGGCAUCGACGGGUAGCUGGUCUGAGAGGACGAUCAGCCACACUGGGACUGAGACACGGCCCAGACUCCUACGGGAGGCAGCAGUGGGGAAUUGUUCGCAAUGGGCGCAAGCCUGACGACGCAACGCCGCGUGGAGGAUGAAGAUCUUCGGGUCGUAAACUCCUUUCGAUCGAGACGAAUGGCCCGUUGGGAUAACUACCCUGAGGGAGUGACGGUACCGAGAGAAGAACGCCCCGGCUAACUCCGUGCCAGCAGCCG